GACGAACGCUGGCGGCGUGCUUAACACAUGCAAGUCGAACGGAAAGGCCCUGCUUUUGUGGGGUGCUCGAGUGGCGAACGGGUGAGUAACACGUGAGUAACCUGCCCUUGACUUUGGGAUAACUUCAGGAAACUGGGGCUAAUACCGGAUAGGAGCUCCUGCUGCAUGGUGGGGGUUGGAAAGUUUCGGCGGUUGGGGAUGGACUCGCGGCUUAUCAGCUUGUUGGUGGGGUAGUGGCUUACCAAGGCUUUGACGGGUAGCCGGCCUGAGAGGGUGACCGGCCACAUUGGACUGAGAUACGGCCCAGACUCCUACGGGAGGCAGCAGUGGGGAAUAUUGCACAGUGGGCGGAAGCCUGAUGCAGCAACGCCGCGUGCGGGAUGACGGCCUUCGGGUUGUAAACCGCUUUCGCCUGUGACGAAGCGUGAGUGACGGUAAUGGGUAAAGAAGCACCGGCUAACUACGUG
rnacentral:rRNA from 1 species